GACAGAGGGUGCAAACGUUGUCCGGAAUUACUGGGCGUAAAGCGUGCGCAGGCGGUUCUGCAAGUCAGAUGUGAAAGCCCCGGGCUCAACCUGGGAAUUGCAUUUGAAACUACAGGGCUAGAGUGUGUCAGAGGGGGGUAGAAUUCCACGUGUAGCAGUGAAAUGCGUAGAGAUGUGGAGGAAUACCGAUGGCGAAGGCAGCCCCCUGGGAUAACACUGACGCUCAUGCACGAAAGCGUGGGGAGCAAACAGG
rnacentral:rRNA from 1 species